AACGAACGCUGGCGGCGCGCCUAAUACAUGCAAGUCGAGCGAGAAGACGUAGCAAUACGUUUGUAAAGCGGCGAACGGGUGAGGAAUACAUGGGUAACCUACCCUAGAGUGGGAAUAACUAGCCGAAAGGUUAGCUAAUACCGCGUACGCUCCUUGGACUUCGGUUCAGGGAGGAAAGCGAUACCGAGGGUAUCGCGCUCUUGGAUGGGCUCAUGUCCUACCAGCUUGUUGGUGAGGUAACGGCUCACCAAGGCUUCGACGGGUAGCUGGUCUGAGAGGACGAUCAGCCACACUGGCACUGCGACACGGGCCAGACUCCUACGGGAGGCAGCAGUAAGGAAUAUUGCGCAAUGGGCGAAAG
rnacentral:rRNA from 1 species